rnacentral:rRNA from 1 species
CAGUAGCCGCGGGAAUACGAAGGGGGCUAGCGUUGUUCGGAAUCACUGGGCGUAAAGCGCACGUAGGCGGACUUUUAAGUCAGGGGUGAAAUCCCAAGGCUCAACCUUGGAACUGCCUUUGAUACUGGAAGUCUUGAGUUCGGGAGAGGUGAGUGGAACUGCGAGUGUAGAGGUGAAAUUCGUAGAUAUUCGCAAGAACACCAGUGGCGAAGGCGGCUCACUGGCCCGAUACUGACGCUGAGGUGCGAAAGCGUGGGGAGCAAACAGGAUUAGAUACCCGAGUAGUCCCUGUCUCUUAUAC